rnacentral:rRNA from 1 species
AGCUUUAAGUUUUAUUUAAAGUGAGGCCUGCCCAGUGCUAGUUUGUAAACGGCCGCAGUACCUUGACUGUGCUAAGGUAGCAUAAUCAGUUGGCUUUUAAAUGGAGUCGGGAAUGAAUGGAUUAAUAGGGUUAAGCUGUCUCUACUAUACUAAAUUGAAUUUACUUAUUAGGUGAAAAUGCCUAAUCUAAGAAAAAAGACGAGAAGACCCUAGGAGUUUUCACUAGAUGCUAUAUGUAAUAGUUAAUGUUUUUGUUGGGGCGACAUUGGAAUAUUUAUUUAACUUCCUCUAUAUUAUAGGCCGACUUUGUAUGUAAAUUUAAACUACCCUAGGGAUAACAGCGUAAUUCUUUUGAGCUUGCGACCUCGAUGUUGGACUAGGAAUUUGGUAGGCUAGCCGCCUAUUUAUAUUGUUCUGUUCGAACUGUCUUUCCUACAU